CUAUAGUAAGCAAUAACAUAACUGGAAAGGGACUUACUGCUUUUUCAGAAUCAAUGAAAACAAAUACCACACUUACUAAUAUUUACAUCUGGGGAAACAAACUUGAUAGUGAAACGUGUGUGGCAUUUUCAAACUUAAUAACAUCGGGUCGUCUAAAAAAAGAGAAUACAGACGUGGAGCCCUAUGAAGUUGAUGGCUGUGUAUAUCUUGCUGAGCUGUCUCACGGCAUUAAAAAACAUUAUUACUGGACACCCACUUAUGGAGAAAUCGAAGGUCCUUCAACCGAUGCAGGCUUUGCUAUUGUGCAAUCAGCCAAAAACCUAUGAAAACAAGUUUCUAACUUUGAUCCCUGUCACCUUUGUGACUUCAUCCCCAUAUUCACUUACCUUACUGAAAUGCUGUUUCUUCAAAACCCACGUCCAUGAAACCUUUCCCCAUCCAUCUCCAGCCCACAAGCGCUCUCUCCCUCCUAACUCUGUUAGAGCACUGGCUCUCCUGUGCCCCAUUCUAC
rnacentral:lncRNA from 1 species